UUGAUCUAUUCAUAUACCUCGUCUAUGGUGGAUCUUUAUUAUAACCUAUAAUUUAUAUUAUAACAUGUGCGACAGAUUACAUAUUAGUAACAAAUUUUGGAGAUAAUAUAAAACGUUUUUAAUAUAUGAAAGAAACUGGUUUCUGUCUUGCAUAAACGUAAAUAAAAAGUUAACCCAAAAAUGUCCAAUUUUAGCCCAACAUUAAUAUUUUUUUUAUCUUUUAUUGGUAUUCAUGUUGCUUGGUACCAAAUACGAAAUAAAAAUGUACCAAAAGAAGAUCAAGUUCAACAUCCUUUCGUAAAACUAUAUUAUAACUUAACGAAGAAAAGUGAUGAUUAAAUGUAAUAAGUUACAAAGACAAACGUGCAAAAUAAAAAUAAAAUGUAAUAAGAAUUAAUUUAUAUCAUGAAAAUCUAUAAAGUUUAAAUAAAUAGUAGGUAGAUGAUCAAAAUCUUGCUGGUGAUGCAUGGAGGAGCUUUUCGGCCGAUUUUCAUUUUGACUAUGUACUGAAGCACCAGCCUUGGGAAGUUGAGGUAAUACCAUUUGACUGUAAUUGCUAUUCUACAAUACAGUAGGAUAUUUUUAUUACUUUUGUCAUAUGUAUUAUGUUAUCCAGUGACAUAUUUUAAUACUAUCUAAUAUAGUAGCAAUAAAUUUGUACAUU